rnacentral:rRNA from 1 species
ACGCAAGCUGCAGUCGACGAUUCCUACGGGAGGCAGCAGCAGGGAAUAUUGCACAAUGGGCGCAAGCCUGAUGCAGCGACGCCGCGUGAGGGAUGAAGGCUUUCGGGUUGUAAACCUCUUUCAGUGGGGAAGAAGCGCAAGUGACGGUACCCACACAAGAAGGCCCGGCCAACUACGUGCCAGCAGCCGCGGUAAUACGUAGGGGCCAAGCGUUAUCCGGAUUUAUUGGGCGUAAAGAGCACGUAGGUGGCAUGGUAAGUCAAAGGUGAAAGCCCUCGGCUCAACCGAGGAAUUGCCUUUGAAACUGCUUUGCUUGAGUCCGGGAGGGGGGAGCGGAAUUCCCAGUGUAGCGGUGAAAUGCGUAGAUACUGGGAGGAACACCGGUGGCGAAGGCGGCUCCCUGGACCGGUACUGACACUGAGGUGCGAAAGCGUGGGUAGCAAACAGGAUUAGAUACCCUGGUAGUCCACGCCGUAAACGAUGGGCACUAGGUGCAGCGGGUGUCGACCCCUGCUGUGCCGUAGUUAACGCAUUAAGUGCUCCGCCUGGGGAGUACGGUCGCAAGGUUGAAACUCAAAUGAAUUGACGG